rnacentral:rRNA from 1 species
AUACGGAGGGGGCAAGCGUUGUUCGGAAUUACUGGGCGUAAAGGGCACGUAGGCGGCUUAUUGGGUCAUACGUGAAAUCCCCGGACUUAACCCGGGAACUGCGUUUGAAACCGUUAGGCUAGAGGACGGAAGAGGAGAGCGGAAUUCCCAGUGUAGAGGUGAAAUUCGUAGAUAUUGGGAAGAACACCAGUGGCGAAGGCGGCUCUCUGGUCCGUUACUGACGCUGAGGUGCGAAAGCGUGGGGAGCAAACAGGAUUAGAAACCCCAGUAGUCC